rnacentral:lncRNA from 1 species
GCUUAACAAAAAAGGGUGCAACGUGAUGUUUUAAUUUUUUUUCAGUCAACUUUAAUAUAUGAUUUAAAAUUUGGAUGGUGACAGAAUGACAACGUUAGCAUAAUGCACUAACCAUAUGUUCUGGUCUUGAUUGUGUGAUGUGUUGUGUUUGGCAAUUUAAACAAGCAUGAACAUAUAUGUAUUGUUAGAACUAGGUGUGUUGUGUUUAGUGUAAGGACUAAGGAAUCUAGAAGCCGAAUGUGUUUGGUUAAGAAU